rnacentral:misc_RNA from 1 species
AAGUCGUAACAAGGUCUCCGUAGGUGAACCUGCGGAGGGAUCAUUAAUCGAGCUGGGGCCCCCCGGGGCCCCGGACCUCCAACCCCAUGACGAACCCUGAUGUUGCCUCGGGGGCGACCCGGCCCUCCGGCCGUUCGCCCCCGGCGGAACCCUCAACUCUGCAUCUUUGCGUCGGAGUAACUUGAUAAAUCAAUCAAAACUUUCAACAACGGAUCUCUUGGUUCUG